rnacentral:misc_RNA from 1 species
UACGAUGAUUACUCACGAUGAGUGUCCACACAGAUUGAUAGUUCACAAGCGAAAGCUUGUAGCUAACAUAGCUCUUUAACAAUUUGGAAAGCUGACAAAACAAUCUUUAAGAUUGUUUGUAAAGUUCUCAAAGUAUUCUUAAUUGAAUACUCCAAACAACACAUUCAAGUGUUCUUGGGUUUUGCGAAAGCAAAACAUAUUUGAGUCCGGCAAAAUCGAAAGCUAUCUCGCUCAUUCAAAUAAUGAGAUAGCAACUUUGGUUGUUUAACUUCAAUUCGAAACUCCUUCGGGUUGUAU